UACGAAGGCGGCUAGAGUUGUUCGGAAUCACUGGGCGUAAAGCGCACGCAGGCGGAUCGAUAAGUCGGGGUUGAAAGCCCGGGGCUCAACCUCGGAAUUGCCUUCGAUACUGUCGGUCUCGAGUCCGGGAGAGGUGAGUGGUAGUCCUAGUGUAGAGGUGAAAUUCGUAGAUAUUAGGAAGAACACCAGUGGCGAAGGCGGCUCACUGGCCCGGUACUGACGCUCAGGUGCGAAAGCGUGGGGAGCAAACAGG
rnacentral:rRNA from 1 species